CUCUUUUCCAGAGGCCCACGCGGUCCCUGAAACAAACAAACAAACAAACAAACAAACAAACAAACAAACAAACAAACAAACAAACUACCAAACACUCCAGGACUUAU